rnacentral:rRNA from 1 species
AUUGAACGCUGGCGGCAGGCCUAACACAUGCAAGUCGAGCGAGCGGCGGACGGGUGAGUAAUGUAUGGGGACUGCCCGAUAGAGGGGGAUACCUACUGGAAACGGUGGCUAAUCCCGCAUACUAUCGGAUAACCCAUAUGGGAUUAGCUAGUAGGUGGGGUAAAGGCUCACCUAGGCGACGAUCUCUAGCUGGUCUGCGAGGAGGAUCGGCAACACGGGGACUGGGAGACGGCCAAAACUCCUAGGGGGGAAGAAGUGGGGAAUAUUGCAAAAUGGGGGCAAGCCUGAUGCAGCAAUGCGGCGUGUAUGAAGAAGGCCUUAGGGUUGUAAAGUACUUUGAGCGGGGAGGCGUUACCCGCAGAAGAAGCACCGGCUAACUCCGUGCCAGCAGCCGCGGUAAUUC